AGUGAAGAAUCUGGUUGGAAACUUGUUCAUGGGGAUGUGUUUCGGCCUCCUCGUUGUCUAGCAUUAAUUUCAGCUCUUGUUGGUACCGGGGCACAGCUGGCGCUGCUUGUUCUCCUUGUCAUUCUGUUGGCAAUUGUGGGGACAUUAUAUGUUGGGUAUGUUAGAACUCUUGGUAUCAUUCCUUGAAAACUAGUUGUUACCUAAUGAAGCCUAGAAGCGAGUUAUAGGUGUAUUUGAUGAUGACUAUCUGCUAUUUUUCUACUUUUCAAGUAAUUUUGCAUUGAAUUGUCCAUUUACUAGCAGGCUGUUGGCUAUUCCUGCCUUGCAACAAUCAUUUUAACUAACUCUAUUUACACGCUAAGUUAACAGAAUUAUAAGCUAAAUAGCUUUUUUUUUGGGGUGGAAAAGCUUACAUGGCAUAUAUAUAUAUAUAUAUAUAUAUAU
rnacentral:lncRNA from 1 species